rnacentral:tRNA from 2 species
GCGGCGGUGGCGGAAUUGGUAGACGCGCUAGCUUGAGGGGCUAGUGAGCAUUGCGCUCGUGGAGGUUCAAGUCCUCUUCGCCGCACCA